CAGUAGCCGCGGGAAUACGGAGGGAGCUAGCGUUGUUCGGAAUUACUGGGCGUAAAGCGCGCGUAGGCGGCUUUGUAAGUCAGAGGUGAAAGCCCGGGGCUCAACCCCGGAAUUGCCUUUGAGACUGCAUCGCUUGAAUCCAGGAGAGGUGAGUGGAAUUCCGAGUGUAGAGGUGAAAUUCGUAGAUAUUCGGAAGAACACCAGUGGCGAAGGCGGCUCACUGGACUGGUAUUGACGCUGAGGUGCGAAAGCGUGGGGAGCAAACAGGAUUAGAUACCCGCGUAGUCCCUGUCUCUUAUAC
rnacentral:rRNA from 1 species